CUGCGCUAAACCGGGUUCUCGGCGCCAUUUUGUCUGAGCGGUGGUGGUCGCAGCUCUAUCGCAUUUUAUGUUCCUGUCGAGAGGAGAGCCGAGGCUUUAUCUCGUAGAUUCUUUUUAGGGCGGCACCUGUCUGCUGUUCACUCCAGGACAGCACCUAGUGAAGGUAGGAGGUGUCGCGGACCUGUCAAAAAGGUCGGUUAGAAGCUGUGGUUGUCCCAGUGACUGGGGGAUGGCGCAGCUUUAGCGGCACCGGCACCGGAAGUGGACGGGCCGCGCGGCGGCCAUGGCAAAUUGGUCUGAAGAAAACAAGACCUUCAGUGACAUAUCCUAAGUACUACUGAGAAUAAACCUCAUUUUACGGGAAAAUGAAGGAACAUGUUCCAGUUUUAGAAGACCUGGAUCUGCUGUUGAAAAUUCUGUUUCUGGUACCAAUAUCAAGAAGGUUUACAGUAAUAAGGUACUGGAUUUUUUUUUUUUAAGAUUUUAUUUACUUAUUUGAGGAACAGAGAGUUAGCAAGAGAGAGCAUGAGCAGGGAGGAGAGGGAGAAGCAGGCUCCCCGCUGAACAAGGAGCCCAGUGCUGGACUCAAUCCUAGGACGCUGGGAUCACGACCUGAGCCUAAGGCAGAUAGAUGUUUGACUGACUGAACCACCCAGGUGUCCCUGUAGUCUUAUCAAAGUAAAAUGUACCAGCUCCACCCCCCCCCCCCCCCCGCCNUUGUAUUUCUACAGUGCAGUUACAAAGUGCCCCCACUAGUGAGCCUAGUUUAUUAAUCCUACAUAGAAUAUGUAUAAAAGUCAACUGCUUCAUAAUAGCUGAAGAACCACAUGUAUCUGGUUAUACAAUUUCAGAUUUAUCUAAUGUUAUGGCAUCUGUAGUUUUAGGUGGCUUAGCUGCUCAAAUUUAGGUUUCUUUAGAAUCAGUGUCUAUUCUUUUAAAGGGUUAUAAACUAUAUUAUUGUGAUUUUGUUUGUUUGUUUGUUUGUUUGUUUGUAGUAAGGUAUGCCCAACUUGGGGUUUGAACUCACAACCCGGAGAUCAAGAGUCAAAUGCUCUACCACCUGAGCCAACCAGGUGCCCCUAUACUGAUGUGAAUUUAAAAACAGAUAUACUCACACCACAGUAGAAUAUUUAUGUGCCAUUCAUAUUUUGGAAAUGUAUAGAAUGGCCAUUAGAUUGGCUUAGGCAUAGUCAGCUUAUUGAUUAGGUGUAUAGAUAUAUCCAAUUUAAUAUUGUUUAGGUGUUUGCCAUUCUUAGUUAAAUGUGUAAGUUGUAAAAUGUAGCAUGUAAUUUUACAUAAAAGCCAUGAUAAUGAGAUAAUAGUUUUGAGUUGUUUGUAUAAUAGUUAGCUAUUCAUGUAUAAUGAUUUGCUAUUUAAACUUCACAGAUGUUCAAAGUCCAGCAGUAUCCUGCUGCCAAACUCAGUGAGUAGAGAUUACCUUCUUAGGAAAGCACAGUUUGAGUGAUUCUGGCAUGAGCCAGGUAAAGGGUGUGUAUACCUGCCCAUAGUUGGCCUGCGUUACAGACGAUUUCUUCCUUCUCUGAGUACUACUGUUCAGGUUAUGACAGUUCUUGUAGGCCCCAGUACUGAUUAUAUUCUAACUUCUUGUUUAAUAUAAAAUAUGGGUAUUUUAAUUGAACUUUACAGAUGAGGAAAUUUUUUAAGUGACAAAAUACAGAACUUGUGGAUCCUUAAAUCCACUCCUCUCCACAAAUAAAGAGAGGAAAAAUUCUUCACUCUCCAACCUAAAACAUCUUUUUUGUGUGUCACACUUAAAAAUUAACAGUGGCUGAUUUCACUAAAUACAAAACUGGGUAAUGGCAUCAAGUAAUACCUACUGAGUUGGUAGGGACUUACUGCACAAAACCCAGGGAUAAAUGAUCUUUAGAGUCUAGCUGAAUAAUGAAUGGAGCUUUGAAUUAAUUAAUGAUUCCAAAGCUGCUUUUUGCAGUAUCUUAAGGAAUUUUUCAAUAAGCAUAAACCUUCAUUUUAAUACCAAGCAAAUAUGUACUCAAUUAUUCCCGCCAACUUCAAUCGUUACAAGACAAAAAUUUAAUGAAAAUUGGUCAGUGGGUAGGUAAUAAUCCACGGGGCUAAAGAAUUACACGGGACUGUAUUAGAAAUUUAAAAUAGAUGCUGAAGUAAAUGUUACAUAUUAUCAUCAUCUGAUUCAUCUUCUUCCUUCAAUGAUUCCUGUUAAGAGAAAGAUAGUGUUUAAAAUCUAUUUUUAAUACUGUUAUAACAACCUGAAUCUCAUUAAGUACUUGUAACUGAAAAAUCUUUACAACUGAAGAUAACACUUAGAAUAACAUACCCAAACAAAGAAAAGGAUAAUUAAGUGUAUCUUGUUCUAACAAACAAUCAGCUGACUAUAUUCUUGAUAGAACACACAGUAUGAAAGCAUUAAAUGCCCUGGAAAACCCUUACCAUUUUCACAUACAAAAUUUUUGGAACCAGGGCAACCCUAUCCCCACUGAGGAUAACCUACAAAAUUUCUAACCUUAGUUCAGUUCAACUCUUAAGUGUUGUUUAAUAGAAAUCAACCAAGUUCCUUUAUUAUUCAGCGCUUACUUUCAUACCUUUAGGGAGUUUUUUACAUGCUGCAGCUUACCUUAGCAUAUUUCUCUGCCUCUUCCCUUAUAUCUUUUGGAACAAUUUCAUGUCUUCCUUUAGUUACUGAAAAUUAAGCCAUAUAUUUAAAUGAAUUAGAAAUGAGGACUGUGUUGCAACUCUUUUCCAAUAUAAUCUACCCAAUCCAUAGGUAUAACCCAUCUAAUAUUAAAAAUUGUACUAAGUAAUACCAGAUGCUCUGAACUCCUCUUUUUUGUGUUUUCUCCACGUAAGAUUAAAUCUGUCCAAAUUUAGCUCUUACGGAAACAUAAAUUAUACAGUGAUUUAUCCUGAUGCUAUGAUAAAUUGAGCAUUUAUUAACGUGCAGCAUGAUUAAUUCUUAAAAAGCUAGCCUUGUAGCCCCAUCCAUAGUUACCAUUGCAAGUAAGAAAAAAAUUGAUGAUUUCUCAGAAAAUGAAUGUCAAAAAAGUAAACCAUUCAUAACAUUAGUCAAUUAAGCAGAACUUCCCCUUCAAAAAUACUACCUUGUAAAUUUGUUCCGGCUUUCUUUGUAAUAGAAAGGCACUAAGUGGUAGAACACACUUUGGCACUACCUAUUGCACUUGAACUUACAUAUGUUUCAUGAUUCAGCAAUUCCACCCUUACGUAUAUUUUCAACCGAAAUGCUACAUAGGUGUAUAAAAAUUAUUACACAAGACAUCCACAGCUGUACUAUUCAUUAUAGUUUUUUUUUAAAAAGCCCACUGGAAAGAGCCCAGCUAACCAGCAGCAAAAGAGGAAAUGAACAGAUUGUGUGAUAUCUGGACAACAGAUUAUACACAGCAAGGCAAAUGAACAAAUACUGUACACAACACACGAUUUACACAACGCUGAAGUAAAGAAAUCAGGGAUAAAAGAAUACACACUGGGUAAUUCACUUACAUAAAAGUGAACAACAGGCAAAACUAUGAGUUAGAAUUCAAGGUAGUGGUUACCUUUAGGGAGAAGGUAGAGAACUAUAAAUUCAAAGAGGCUUUAAGGGGUUAUCUGGGGAACUAGUCUAUUUGUUGACUUUAGGGAGAAGGUAGAGAACUAUAAAUUCAAAGAGGCUUUAAGGGGUUAUCUGGGGAACUAGUCUAUUUGUUGACUAGAGAGAGCACAGUGGUUACAUGAGUAUAUCCAUAUUAUGAUACUUCAUCAGUUCAUCUGUUAUUUACAUACUUUAAUAUAUGUAUGUCAUUACCAAAUUAUUUUUAAGAUAAAAGAGGAGGGAAAGGCCCCCAAUUUUAAAUUAGGUUUCGUACAGAUGACUCAGAGCAAAUAAAUGUACAAAAAUAACUUACUUUCACCAACCCAGCUGAGCUCUAGUUCAAAAGCUUUAUCCUUAACUUCAUCAUGUACUAUGUAAAUUCUAGAACACAAACGAGAAAAUUAACAUUUACUUGGUCAUCUAUAAACAUGCACCCAGUCAGCACAAAUUAGAACACCCAUCCCUAAUACAAAUAUUUACAUUAGUCUGUAUGAACACUUCUAGAAAAGACAAUAGGCUGGGUGGCUCAGUAAGUUGAGCACCAGACUUUUGAUUUUGGGUUAGGUCCUAAUCGUCAGGGUCAUAGGAUAGAUGGGCUCCAUACUCAGUGCCGGGACCCCGCUUGAGAUUCUCUCCCUUUGCCUCUACCCGUGCUCUCCCUCUCACUCUGUUUCUAAAUUAAAUAAAUCUUUAAAAAGAAAAGACAGUAAAUCACACAAGGAUGGAUAUAAAAUUAAAUACUACAAAGGAGUGUUUACAACCCAAGUUGUUUGGUACUGUUACAUUGUAGACCCACAACUCAAAAAGAUACCUGAAAAAGAGUACAGAUUCAAAAGAGAAAAGGCCAUUAUUACAACUGUGCCUUUUCAGGAUAUUUGUUUAUUCCUUUCAUUAAAUGAUGAUUUUUAAAACAAAUUUAUUAGUUUGCAAUUAUUACUGGUCUAUUCAAUCUGAAGCUCCUUGGCAGGGUCUUUUUAAACCCCUUAUCCAUUUUAUAAGAACUAUAUGCCCCUUAACCUGGCUUUCAAACUGUAAUACAUGGCAAAUUGCAAUAAACAAGGAGGCACUGUCACACAACAUUAAAUUUAGUAAAAGUAUCAGAGCACAGCUUUCUUAUUUUACCUUUUCCAGCAUCUUCACACACUUUACUUUGGAGGAUAUUUUUAAAGCCUUGCUAUAGUAUGAGAAAGCAUCUUAAUUUUCUAGACUAAGUAAAAGAUACAUAGUGCUCAUUUUAUUAAAUGGUAAGGGGAUGGCUUUCCCUACAUGAACUAAUUAGUUUAUGCUGUUAUACCUAAACAUAAAAAGGUGUAGUAAGGGCUGAUUUCCAGAAGCACUUCUCAAUUGAAAGAAAUGGAGUUUAUCACAUUUAAACUGUUGUACAGGGCACCUGGGUAGCUCAGUUGGUUGAGCAUCCGACUUGAUUUCCACUCAGGUCACGAUAUCAGGGUUGUGAGACUGAGCCCCAACUUGUGCUCUGCACUGGGUGUGGAGCCUUGCCUGGGAUACUCUGUCCCUCUGCCCCUCCCUCUUUUAUAUAAAAUAAUAACAAUAAUAAUCUGUUGUACAAUUGGGUGAGGAUUCUUUAUCUUCCAAGUGGUUCUACUGUAAGGUAAUUCCCAGAGCUCCUCAUGUGAUUAACUGACAAUCAUAAAGUGGGUUCUGUUGCUUCACAACCACAAGAGGAGAGGGGGUCUCUUGGUAAAAGGGGGAGGGAAGAAGAUAAUGUGGCAGUGUCGAGUGGUGACAAUUAAGACAAAAUCAUAGAACACUUCAAUAUUUUACUACAACUAGCAGUUUAGAAGAGAUUACGGGUACCACUUAAAUAUAUACGGAGCCUCUAGGACUUUUAUUUUUCUCAGUUGUACUAACUGUAAAACCUGAGACAUUUGCACAAACUGCUGACUAGACCAUGUUGAUGUUAGUUCUAAUGUGGAAUAGUAUAAUAUGUUGAUUACUUUUAAACCUGAAAAGCUACCUGCAAAACUAGCAUUUUAUUGGAUUUUUUUGAAAUACCACGUGCCUACAUUCUUUGAUCUGGAAGAAUCAUGAAUUUUGAAGCAUUCCACUCAGGUUUAUGGACUUAGUUGUUACUUAUUGUAGUCACAUAUACAUUCUACUAUAUGUACCUGGUAAUAUGAACCACUUCAGACUUUCUUAAAGCUGUUUCUAAAUGUAUUGAAAUACUGCUCUUAUCUUCUCAGAAAAGCAUUUAUGACUAACGUAUCUUACCGCCUAAAAAAGACAGAUAAUAUAAAGAACCCAGCUUCAUGGUUCAUGUGUAGAAAUAACUAGCUGUAAACCAAAAAUAAAGUUUGUAAACCAAAUUCCUAUUACUGGGACUUCUGAGAUUUGAGAGAGUAGGAGCUAUCAAAUGAAGCCCCUAGAGGUCCACACUAUAUCCUCCGACUCUUGAAUUCUUUCACCUAAAUAGUUUUAGUUUGUCAAAACUUCAUAUUCCAUUCACUAUCACUUGGAAUAUGGAUAGUCCCCUUAAUGAGACUUUUUAGAAUGUUAAAUUGACAUUCUAAAAAUUAGGCAUGAAGUUAUUUUAAAACAAAACAGACCUUUAGAAUUAAUGUAUAAGGUAAGGUCAAAUGAAAUAUUUUUGUCAAUGAUAAUAAAAAUUCCAACUUACAUUUUUGCAACUUCUUUAACAACAUCACGACAGGUCAUUUCUUUCAUCUAUAGAAAAUAUUGAGUCAUGAGUCAAAAGAAGACCUUUAUACUUAUAUAACUAUUUUCAGAUUGUUUUCUCAGAUUUGUCAAUAACCCAUGCUUUUAACAUAAGUCUCAGACAUAAUAUCAAAACCAUGAUACUGAAUUUAAGAAUACCAGUCUUGAUAGGAAGUACACACACACAGUAUGUGGAACUAAUUACAAAAGCAAUGGGCAUGGGCUUAAAAAAUUACUGCUAUAGAGUGCCUGGUGGCUCAGGUCCAACUCUUGAUUUCAGCUCAGGUUGUGAUCUCAAGUUGUGAAAUCGAGCCCUGCAUCGGGCUUUGUACUCUGUGGAGCCUGCUUGAGAUUCACUCCCCCUCUGCCCCUCCCUCCCCCUAAAAAAAAAAUUGGUACUGGGAGAAGGGUAAGACUUAUUUAUUUUUGAGAGAGAGUAGGAGGGAGAACGUGAGUGGGGGGGGCAAAGGGGAGGAGACUCCCUGCCGAGCAGGGAGCCCCAUGCAUGACUUGCUCAGUCCCAGGACCCUGGGAUCAUGACCUGAGCUGAGGGCAGAUGCUUAACCAACUGAGCCACCCAGGUGCCCCACCCCCUUUUUAGGGUAAGACUUAAAAUAGAAGAGAUAUAAUUGAAAUUCAAAGUGUGAGCCUUAAUUAUAUCACAGUUUGAAAAAGUUACAAAAUGACACUUGAGAGAAUACUGAGGCAGUUUGAUUAUAGACUAAAUAUUUGAUUAUAUCUUAGAUGUGAUAAUGAUAUUCUACAGAGCUGAACUCUGAAGCAUUUAGAGAUAGUGUCAUUGUAAUUGUUUCAAAUAGUUCAGGAAAAAACAAAUGGAUAAAACACUGAAAAAUAACUGUUCAAUCUAGAUGGACAUAGUUGUGCUGUUAUCUUUUCUGAUGUUUAAAUUUUUUCAUGUUAAUUUGGGGGUGAAGUGGAAAAAAAGAAUACCUAUCUCUUCCUAUUUUUCCCCUUAUAGGUUAAGUUCUAUGGUGAGUGAAUUUUAUAAUAAAGGUAACUUUAAGCAAACUUGAAAAAGCACAUUUUUUCUCUAGAUUUAUUUUUUUGAGAGACAGCAUGAGAGCACAGGAGUGGGGGGAAGGGCAGAGGAAGAGAAUCUUCAAGCAGACCGAGUAUACACACACACGCACUCACGCGCGCGCGUGACCAGCUUUCUUAAUCAGUCUCUCAUAUUCAGAAAGCUCUGCUCAAAACAGCAAACCACACUCUGUGUAUCCUUAAACUAAAAGGUUUCACUUGUGGUGAUAAAACUUCACUACAUGAGGAUAAUGUUACAGGAAAACACAAGCAUUAAGUAUGUAUUACCUGAAGUUUUUCUAUUUCUGUCUUUGCAGCUUGUCUGGCUUUGCCAAUGGCACAACCCCAAUAACCCUAUUUAAAAAGAACACACACCAAAAAAUACAGAUAUUAUUCAAUUAAAUUGAUACACUAUCCCAAAAUCAUUAGUGGCUGUGACUGUCGAUUUAAAGGUUAACAAAACGAUGUUAAAUGACUUUCAAAAUUAAGUAUGGAGAAAUACAAACACAUGUCUAAUGAACACCAGGGGGCUCAAAAAAAAAUUCUAGAAUAACAUGGAUUAUUUUUAAUAGAGGUGCUAUACAAGAAAAACAAAUUAACGUCAUAUAUAUACUUCAUGAACUAGAGAUGUUUUUGAGGUUAGGAAUGGAAAAAUUUUUAGCAUUAUGUCAAAAAGAAAUUGAGAUAAUUGCUCAGCUAAAUACUCUAAACCAUUUUUUAUUAUACUGAAAAUUUUUUAAAUGAAAGGAUUCCCAUUUAUACUUGUGUUUAAUGACAAAAUAUAAAGUCUUUUUUGUAAUUAGUAAAAACCAUAAAUAUCUCAGAAGAGAUAAGGUAAGUAAAGAUGCAAGAAAUCCCAUUUAAAAUCCUUUUUUUAAAGGGAAGGUUUUUAGUUUUAAGACACUUAAUGUUUAUCACAAUAAAGGAAAUACCACAUAUUGCAAUUUUGAUGUUCACUAUCUGUAAACAUACUAAAAGUGAUAAAUCUUUCCUCUGCCUCAUAUCCACAAAAAAUUGUUACUUUCCUUGAAUUAAUUUUAAAGAAACUUCAUGUAAUCCAUAUAUAUGGUUUACAUGCUAAUGAGAUACCAUUAAACUAGAAAUAGAAAUUCAUGAUUCAGAAUUACUCACAUAUGAAACUCCUGAUGGGUCAAUCAUGUAGAGCUGUGCACCAUCAUUCACACUGUAAGACCCUAACAUGAAACUGCAUGAAAGUAAAUUAAUAAUUUAAACCACGGUUCUUAAUACCAUGAAAAUAUUAAAAAUUCAGUAAACACACAAUUAUAUUUUCUAAGAUAAACUGAUACAUAUAGCUCAUAAUAAACACUGUGAUGAAGUAAUUUCAAUAAAAAUUAGUAUACACUUGAAAUUGUUGAAAAUUGGUAUGGCUUUGUUUAGUAUUAAACUUGCUGAUAUAACUUUUCUGGGAAGACAGCAGUGUAGACAAAGGAGUGAUGACUGAUGAAAAACUAAUGAGAAGGCCCAACAGGUAAAGGCAUACACAUGAAAAAGCCAAGAUAACAAAACUAACAGGAAUACAUUCAGUCUGCCUCAAGCUCUUGUUACACCCCGUCAUUCUUUCUUGGCUAUUCCCCAAUAUUCCUCCAGUUAUUUUUCUACAAUAAUCCAAACUGCUUUUAAUGUAUUUUUAUAUGCUCAACAAAUUAAAAUUAGGCUGUUAAACAAUCAUACGAAUUAGUGAUUUUCUGAAAUUGUCGUUUAGUUUACCCCAGAAGUAGAAAAGAAACCAGCCUCAUCUUAUGUAUCAGUUCAUGUACAGACUACCGUAACACCAACUGUCCAGUUCUCACCCAUACAAUCAUUUCCGUCCAUAUUAAUGAAACUUAUCUUUCAGAAUAUAUAACUGGUUAUAAUUUUAAAACCUUUCCACGUUUCCUUCGUACAGAACACAGACUUCUGUAUGAUCUUGCCCCUUCCUACAUCUUCAGUAUCCCUCCUACACACCAAGAAUACCUGACUACCUCUGCAUUACCUGAAAUGCCCAUGUAGUUUCUUAGCAGUCCCUUUGCAUGAAAUACUCUUACCAUUUCACCUACAUCUCACAUUCUUUUCCUUGCCAUCUCUCCAAGAAAGCAGCCAUUCCCUAACUGGUGCUGGGCCCACUACAGUCUGUGUAUAUCCUAUCACCUAUAAAACUGUAUCAGUGAAAACUUACUCACCUUUGUGUCCUGCCCUCUUACACAUAUCUGUGACUAAGUCAUAGUAUAUGUUCAUUAUUUACUGAAAAAGUUCUCCACUAUUCUUAUUCCCUUAGAAAUAGAGAAAUGAUGAUUCAAAGUGUUCAAAGAUUUUAAAAAGUUGAAAGGUAUUCUAUGAAGUCUGAAAGCAAAAUGUUUCAAUGUAAUUUACGUGAGAACCUUAAGAACAACUAAUAUAAAAAAUGUCCAAAGGCCUAACUUAUUGGUGGUAGAAUAAAACUCAGGUUUUCUCUAACCUCUGUCCUCAGUAAUUUAAAUAUGACUGAUUAUGAACAACUGAAAGGCAGGACUAUAGCUAAUAAACUUUCUACAGCCCUUUAACAGUGGCAAGCAAUCAGAUGUUAGUAAAUGUUCUACUUCAAUCAAACAGGACUUUCUUUCUUUAAAGUUAAAACUAAACAUGUCUUUUUAGGAAAAUCUAGAGUGAUGACAGGUCUCUGAGCCCUAUUUAAAUAUUUACAUGUAUUCCAAGUCCUGAUGCAAUUGAAUCUCCGCUUUCCCCCACAAAAAUACCCGCACUUCAUCUUAACAACAGAAAUAGGAAACUAAGGAGAACUAUAUGAAAUGCAAUUCUGUGUGGAUUCACUAUGGACUGCUAAAAAAACUCCCAAUUAAGAGCAUUGCACCUAACUGCUUUAAGUAAGUAUAGCCAAUGGAAAUUAAUGAGAAACUGAAGUGUCCCUUUAGUUGGCUACCUAUAAUGUCAAAAGAAAAUAUAUUUAAAAUCAGUUUUUUGUUUCCUGAGAAUGCUGGGGUCUGACACCAGAGAAUUUUUUUCUAGUUUUAUUGAGAAAUAAUUUACAUGCAUCACUGUACAGUGUACAGCAUGACAGUUUGAUUUACAUGUGUUGUGAAAUGGUUACAAGAGGUUUAGUAACAAUAAAAAGAGAUACAAUAAAAAGAGAAAAAACCUUUCUUCCUUGUGAAGAAAAUUCUUAGAAUGUAUUCAACAACCUUCCCAUAUAUCACACAGCAGUGUUAACUACAGUCAUCAUACUGUACAUUACAUCUCUAGCACUUAUCUUAGGACCUUUAUACCUUUUGACCACCUUCCUCCAGAGAAUGUAUUAUAAUCAGAUUAAAGUUAUUACUAGGAGUUCAGUGUUUUAUUACCACUUCAAAUUUGUAGUCUUUUUCACUAUUCAAAGUUUUGUUUUGAUAUACAGUUUUAUUUAAUCAUUGCCCUAAUACUUUUUGGUCAUAGCUCAUACCUCUAAGAGUAUAAAAGGCUAAGAUACCGGGGAAAACAGUACAGAUCUGACUGAAUAUCCCACAAAAUUUCAUACCUGCAGCCAAAAGGUCGAACAGCACUGUAGAGUGUGUAUGCAUGUACAUACAUGGCCACUCUGUCUGCAAGAUGCUAUGAGAGGGAGAAACAGAAGAGCUUAUCAGCAAAUUUCUAUGACUGUUCAAAAGGCUCCUCAACAUAUUAUCAACUUACUUUUAAUGGAAUGUUAUAGCCAAAAUUAGAUCUAAAGUUGGAAGCUUCUUCUCUUGCAAUGUCUGCUAAAGAACGAGCAUCUGCCAACAAACCCGCUACUGCCUGAAAGAAAGGAAGUACCAAUUUAGUAGAUAAAUACAUUCCUAUCACAAAUCAAGCAAAGUGUGUAAUUACUGUAGGCUUACUCAAUAUUUUAACAAGCAUCACAUUUAGAAAUAAUUUGGCUUAAAGCUCUUUACAAGGCAUUCUGGCAUUUUGAUUGGGUGGGAUCAAAAUAAAAGUAUGGAAUUACAAUUCAGAAAUUUACCAAGUGUGACUUCACUGUUUGUUGAAUAAUGACAUUCAAAAGGAAUAUUUCUAUAAUUAAUCUUCUAUGUCUCCCAAUUUACCAGUUCACUAUAAAUAAGCAACAACCAGAAUACUACUAGUCUUGAUCAGGAUUGAUCUCUAUUUAAAGCAGUUCUGGGGGCGCCUGGGUGGCACAGCGGUUAAGCGUCUGCCUUCAGCUCAGGGCGUGAUCCCGGCGUUAUGGGAUCAAGCCCCACAUCAGGCUCCUCCGCUAUGAGCCUGCUUCUUCCUCUCCCACUCCCCCUGCUUGUGUUCCCUCUCUCGCUGGCUGUCUCUAUCUCUGUCAAAUAAAUAAAAUCUUUUAAAAAAAAAUAGAGCAGUUCUGUGUUCAAAUUACUUAAAGUUUUGGUCUAAGAGGCACAACCUCAAAUCUUUUUCAGCUUAUUGACUAUUAAACUUCAAUGACAAACCAAAACAUGACAAACCACACAUCUUCCAAGACUGGUAGCUUAAAACUGCAGUUACCAAACCAUGUGCUGAGAGAUGCUAGGGCACUGUAGUGAACUCAAUUAUGCAACAUUUGGAAUUUGGGGGAUACAGCUGAAGUAGUUCAGUUUCAACAUUAGAUCAUUCAGUAUUCCUUUUAAUGCCAUCAUAUUGUUGAGCACCUGGGUUGUUGUGAUAAGUAAGUACCAUACAAAAAUCCCUGUGGAACAGGAAAUGGGGGCGCACACGUAAUCUGAUUCCAAAGUUUAGGAAGUGCAGUGCACGUUAGUAAUUGUGAUUGUUUAAAAAUAAAAAUACUUUAACUGUAUGUGUAUUUUUUUUCUCUUAUAGCUACUAAGUUUUUAGUACAUAAACAGUAAGUUGUUUGGACCUAAAUGCAUAAUCGGAACCACUGGGUACUUCUUUUGGAGUAGGGAAGCCAUGGAAAAAAAAAAA